CAGCAUUGCAGCAGCUCCGCCAUGGCCUGGGCUCUGCUCCUCACCCUCCUCAGUCUCCUCACAGGGUCCCUCUCCCAGCCUGUGCUGACUCAGCCACCCUCGGCAUCGGCCUCCCUGGGAGCAUCGGUCACACUCGCCUGCACCCUGAGCAGUGGCUACAGUAAUUAUAAGGUGGACUGGCACCAGCAGAGACCAGGGAAGGGCCCUCGGUUUGUGAUGCGAGUGGGCACUGGUGGGAUUGUGGGAUCCAAGGGGGAUGGCAUCCCUGAUCGCUUCUCAGGCUCGGGCUCGGGCCUGAAUCGGUACCUGACCAUCAAGAACAUCCAGGAAGAGGAUGAGAGUGACUACCACUGUGGGGCAGACCAUGGCAGUGGGAGCAACUUCGUGUAACCCACAGUGACACAGGCAGAGGGGAAGUGAGACAAAAACCUCCCGGCUGAUCUACUCUGUCCACACUUCCUUCCCACUGGCCUGACUCACAGUUCAGAGGCCUGUCUCCUAACUCCGUAUUUAAAGUUUUCACCUUCCUAGACAUUUUGGAGUUCUAAUUCACAGCAAAUGUUCCCUGUGUGUAAAUAUUUUCUCAAGAGCUUUUAAACAUUGAA